UGCAAGUCGAGCGGACAGAUGGGAGCUUGCUCCCUGAUGUUAGCGGCGGACGGGUGAGUAACACGUGGGUAACCUGCCUGUAAGACUGGGAUAACUCCGGGAAACCGGGGCUAAUACCGGAUGGUUGUCUGAACCGCAUGGUUCAGACAUAAAAGGUGGCUUCGGCUACCACUUACAGAUGGACCCGCGGCGCAUUAGCUAGUUGGUGAGGUAACGGCUCACCAAGGCGACGAUGCGUAGCCGACCUGAGAGGGUGAUCGGCCACACUGGGACUGAGACACGGCCCAGACUCCUACGGGAGGCAGCAGUAGGGAAUCUUCCGCAAUGGACGAAAGUCUGACGGAGCAACGCCGCGUGAGUGAUGAAGGUUUUCGGAUCGUAAAGCUCUGUUGUUAGGGAAGAACAAGUGCCGUUCAAAUAGGGCGGCACCUUGACGGUACCUAACCAGAAAGCCACGGCUAACUACGUGCCAGCA
rnacentral:rRNA from 1 species